rnacentral:rRNA from 1 species
AAUCAACGCUGGCGGCGUGCCUCAGACAUGCAAGUCGAACGAUUAAGACUCUCUUCGGAGAGUGCAUAAAGUGGCGCACGGGUGAGUAACACGUAAGUAAUCUACCCUCGAGUGGGAAGUAACGUACCGGAACGGAACGCUAAUACCGCAUAAUGCAGCGGCACCGCAAGGUAGACAGUUGUUAAAGAUUUAUCGCUUGGGGAGGAGCUUGCGGCAGAUUAGUCAGUUGGUAAGGUAAUGGCUUACCAAGGCUACGAUCU